UACGUAGGGGGCGAGCGUUGUCCGAAGUUACUGGGCGUAAAGGGCUCGUAGGCGGUUUGUCGCGUCGGGAGUGAAAACACGGGGCUUAACCCCGUGCCUGCUUCCGAUACGGGCAGACUAGAGGUAUGCAGGGGAGAACGGAAUUCCUGGUGUAGCGGUGAAAUGCGCAGAUAUCAGGAGGAACACCGGUGGCGAAGGCGGUUCUCUGGGCAUUACCUGACGCUGAGGAGCGAAAGUGUGGGGAGCGAACAGG
rnacentral:rRNA from 1 species